AUGGUAAGCUUUUUUGAAACUAGCAAGGGCGGGUUCAGCAAUUUUGGAGAGCUAAAGUGCCUGGAACAUUUGAAGCUGUUGAAUGAUGUUUUAUCCAAAGAUCUGCACCUUCCUCCAGCAUUCUUUGGAUUUCUUCGCAAUCUGAAGAAAUUAACCUUGUCAAAAACACAGUUUGAAUGGAGCGAGGCGAACAGAUUGGCGCACAUUCUUAGGAUUUCUUCGCAAUCUGAAGAAAUUAACCUUGUCAAAAACACAGUUUGAAUGGAGCGAGGCGAACAGAUUGGCUCAAUUGGAAUGCCUUGAGGUCCUGAAAUUGAAAGAAAAUGCAUUUAUUGGGCCGUCCUGGGAGUCUGAUAUAGGAGGUUUUAGCCUACUCAAG
rnacentral:lncRNA from 1 species